AAUUUGUACAUGCCCAAGUAUCACAAAUGAAUUAUUUUGGCAAAUGUUCUUGAAAAGAUAAAACUGAAAACACAUUCUUUUUCAGGUGAAUGAAGGCCCAGAAUGGUAUUCUUCCUGCAAAUCCUGAGUAUGUGAACCAAGAUGGAAUUUCGAUUGGAACUCCAUAGUGAGGCAGGAGGUAAACUUUCCACUGUUGCUGAAAUGGAAUAUAUGGUGAGUUUGUAAUUAUAUUUUAAAAAUAUAUACAUAUAUAUAAUGUAGAAAAAUGAAAAUAUAAUUACAUCAAUUUUGUAAUAAU
rnacentral:lncRNA from 1 species